rnacentral:rRNA from 1 species
AUGAACGCUGGCGGCGUGCCUAAUACAUGCCAGUCGAGCGAACAGACGAGGAGCUUGCUCCUCUGACGUUAGCGGCGGACGGGUGAGUAACACGUGGAUAACCUACCUAUAAGACUGGGAUAACUUCGGGAAACCGGAGCUAAUACCGGAUAAUAUAUUGAACCGCCUGGUUCAAUAGUGAAAGACGGUUUUGCUGUCACUUAUAGAUGGAUCCGCGCCGCAUUAGCUAGUUGGUAAGGUAACGGCUUACCAAGGCAACGAUGCGUAGCCGACCUGAGAGGGGGAACGGCCAAAAUGGAACUGGAAAAAGGGCCAAAAUCCGAAGGGAGGCAGCAGUAGGGAAUCUUCCGCAAUGGGCGAAAGCUUGACGGAGCAACGCCGCGUGAGUGAUGAAGGUCUUCGGAUCGUAAAACUCUGUUAUUAGGGAAGAACAAAUGUGUAAGUAACUAUGCACGUCUUGACGGUACCUAAUCAGAAAGCCACGGCUAACUACGUG